UGAACGCUAGCUACAGGCUUAACACAUGCAAGUCGAGGGGCAUCAGGAAGAAAGCUUGCUUUCUUUGCUGGCGACCGGCGCACGGGUGAGUAACACGUAUCCAACCUGCCCUUUACUCGGGGAUAGCCUUUCGAAAGAAAGAUUAAUACCCGAUAGCAUAAUGAUUCCGCAUGGUUUCAUUAUUAAAGGAUUCCGGUAAAGGAUGGGGAUGCGUUCCAUUAGGUUGUUGGUGGGGUAACGGCCCACCAAGCCUUCGAUGGAUAGGGGUUCUGAGAGGAAGGUCCCCCACAUUGGAACUGAGACACGGUCCAAACUCCUACGGGAGGCAGCAGUGAGGAAUAUUGGUCAAUGGGCGCUAGCCUGAACCAGCCAAGUAGCGUGAAGGAUGAAGGCUCUAUGGGUCGUAAACUUCUUUUAUAUAAGAAUAAAGUGCAGUAUGUAUACUGUUUUGUAUGUAUUAUAUGAAUAAGGAUCGGCUAACUCCGUGCCAGCAGCCGCGGUAAUACGGAGGAUCCGAGCGUUAUCCGGAUUUAUUGGGUUUAAAGGGAGCGUAGGUGGACUGGUAAGUCAGUUGUGAAAGUUUGCGGCUCAACCGUAAAAUUGCAGUUGAUACUGUCAGUCUUGAGUACAGUAGAGGUGGGCGGAAUUCGUGGUGUAGCGGUGAAAUGCUUAGAUAUCACGAAGAACUCCGAUUGCGAAGGCAGCCCACUGGACUGCAACUGACACUGAUGCUCGAAAGUGUGGGUAUCAAACAGGAUUAGAUACCCUGGUAGUCCACACAGUAAACGAUGAAUACUCGCUGUUUGCGAUAUACAGUAAGCGGCCAAGCGAAAGCAUUAAGUAUUCCACCUGGGGAGUACGCCGGCAACGGUGAAACUCAAAGGAAUUGACGGGGGCCCGCACAAGCGGAGGAACAUGUGGUUUAAUUCGAUGAUACGCGAGGAACCUUACCCGGGCUUAAAUUGCAGUGGAAUGAUGUGGAAACAUGUCAGUGAGCAAUCACCGCUGUGAAGGUGCUGCAUGGUUGUCGUCAGCUCGUGCCGUGAGGUGUCGGCUUAAGUGCCAUAACGAGCGCAACCCUUAUCUUUAGUUACUAACAGGUCAUGCUGAGGACUCUAGAGAGACUGCCGUCGUAAGAUGUGAGGAAGGUGGGGAUGACGUCAAAUCAGCACGGCCCUUACGUCCGGGGCUACACACGUGUUACAAUGGGGGGUACAGAAGGCAGCUAGCGGGUGACCGUAUGCUAAUCCCAAAAGCCUCUCUCAGUUCGGAUCGAAGUCUGCAACCCGACUUCGUGAAGCUGGAUUCGCUAGUAAUCGCGCAUCAGCCACGGCGCGGUGAAUACGUUCCCGGGCCUUGUACACACCGCCCGUCACACCAUGAGAGCCGGGGGGACCCGAAGUCGGUAGUCUAACCGCAAGGAGGACGCCGCCGAAGGUAAAACUGGU
rnacentral:rRNA from 1 species